GCGAUAGGACCUCGUUCCGGAUGUAAUAGGAUAUCGCCACUCGACCGACGCGAACCAAAAAAGAAAGAAAGGAAUGCACGUUCGCUAUACCUCCAUGAAGAAAACGGUGCCGUGCUUCUACGCAGCGAUCAUCAUACAGGAGGGGCGCGAGGAUUCACUUCUCUCUUGGACACUGACGGGUCUGGACACGCAAAUUCUGCUCCUGGUAAUUGCAUUGGCCGUCAGUGGAAGAGCGUAGCUUCGGUGGGGUUCUGUCUGCCUCUGAUGGGGUGCGGAUGUGUGGUUCGUCACUGGUGAAUGGUGUUCGACGAUGCAGGUGGAUUUUGUGACGAGCGGAUUUACAAUGAGGGAAUGCUGUGAACGGGAAAAAUGAUGAGCUGUCCUAACCUGCCCAGACAUGCCAUGAUGACGUCACAGCUGACGUCACAGGAUGUCCGGAACUUGUGGUCAUAGCUGCGAUGCUUUGCAACCUGCCUCUGUGCUCCGUCGCCCAGCGACGGUCAGCGGCCGUUUCGGGCCGCUUUCUUCACGAUGACGUCGUUGAUCUUCAACUAAACUCCUUCUCUGCACUCUAUCUCUAUCUAUUUUUUUAUUUUUUAUGGACACAACGCUCGGGUGGUCUGGACACGAGUUAGACGUUUCCCAAUUAGUGUGGUGGCUCC